rnacentral:rRNA from 1 species
GAUAAACGCUGGCGGCGUGCCUAACACAUGCAAGUCGAACGCUCUUCGCAAGAAGAGAGUGGCGGACGGGUGAGGAACACGUGGGUUAUCUACCUUGAGGUGAGGAAUACCGGCGAGAAAUCGCCGACAAUACCGCAUACGCUCGCAAGAGCAAAGCCGUAAGGCGCCUGAAGAUGAGCCUGCGCCCGAUUAGUUCGUUGGUGGGGUAAUGGCCUACCAAGACAUCGAUCGGUAGCUGGUCUGAGAGGACGAUCAGCCACACUGGGAUUGAGAACGG